rnacentral:lncRNA from 1 species
AUAAAAAUUAUUUUUAUAAUUGAUUAAUAUGCUAUUACAUACUAACUAAAAUAAAACAAAAAUUUUUUGCUGAAAUGUCAUGUUUUUCCAUUGCCUCUUUGCUGAAGAAGAGCUCGUUGAAGGAACAGGUUCUUCAUCUAAUACAGUUUCUUCAAUAUCCUUGUCAUCGGUGUUAUUUUUAAACAUUUGAAUGUCAAAAGCAACAUCAUUUUCGCCAUCUAAAUCUUCUAUCUCGGACUAGUUACCAUCAUUUAACACCUCUAGAGCCAAAUCGUGGGUGAGAGGCACACCUGUAAUAAUUAGAAAAACUACUUUUAUCAUUAAAAUAUAGAAAAAUUAAUAAAAAGUCAAACCAAUAAA